AAUCCAAAGUACUCUCGAGUAAACCGGACACGAAAACCGAAGGGAAGAUAUUCAAUUUUGAUCCGUCAACGUCAGCACACACAUAAAUAUCCCGGUUCAAUAAGCGGUUCGGAGUUGUGAAAAGAAAGAGAAGACUGAACUUUGUUUCGCGACGCCGCCGAGACUCGAGACUCGAGAGAGAUGGGGAUAGUAACGAAAGCAGGAGAUUGGUCGUUCAAGGCCUUCACAGCGGGGCUAGGGCUCGCCACCAUCUACCUUACCACCACUUUCUCCGUCAACGUCUACCGUGGCCUUUCUUGGCACAACGCUCAAUCUAAAUUGGAGAUGGAGCAAUCUGAAGAACAACCAGAAUGAUCUGAAUUAUGUUGCUGCUAAUCUAUCUCUCUCACGCAGCAGAUGCUUUCUUUCUGCGAACGUUGUUUCGUUGCAUACACUUUUAAGUAUAUCAUUGUUUCGAUACUAGGAGCAAUUAAAUAAAUGAAAUAUUUGUGUUUGAUAAAUUCAUCAAACUUGUGUGAUGCGAUUCUGAAUGUUCGAUAAUGCAACAAAGAAACAACUUUUUCAUUA